UGAUAUCGAUUUACAUGGAUAACCGUGGUAAUUCUAGAGCUAAUACAUGCAGGUAGGCCCGACUUUUGCGGAAGGGCGGUAUUUAUUAGAUAACAAGCCAAUAUUCCUCUGGUCUAUUGUGGUGACUCAUAAUAACUGAUCGAAUCGCAAGGCCUUUGGCCGCGAUAAGUCAUUCAAGUUUCUGCCCCAUCAGCUUCCGAUGGUAGUGUAUUGGACUACCAUGGCGUUUACGGGUAACGGAGGAUUAGGGUUCGAUUCCGGAGAGGGAGCCUGAGAAACGGCUACCACAUCUAAGGAAGGCAGCAGGCGCGUAAAUUACCCAAUCCUGACUCAGGGAGGUAGUGACAAGAAAUAACGGACCGAGGCCUUCGGGCUUCGGGAUUGGAAUGAGCCGAAUUUACACCCCUUAGCGAAGAUCGAUUGGAGGGCAAGUCUGGUGCCAGCAGCCGCGGUAAUUCCAGCUCCAAUAGCGUAUAUUAAAGUUGUUGCAGUUAAAAAGCUCGUAGUUGGAUUUCUGGGAGGGUGCCGAUGUCCACUUAACGUGUGCGCAGCGGCGCCCUCUCAUCCUUCUGUUAGCGUCUCUUGGCAUUCAUUUGCUGGUGGCGGGCUCAGAUAUUUUACCUUGAGAAAAUUAGAGUGUUUCAGGCAGGCUAGGCCGGAAUACAUUAGCAUGGAAUAAUGGAAUAGGACUACGGUCUCUUUGUUGGUUUGAGGGACUGCAGUAAUGAUUAAUAGGGAUAGUUGGGGGCAUUAGUACUUAACUGUCAGAGGUGGAAUUCUCAGAUUUGUUAAAGACUGACUUAUGCGAAAGCAUUUGCCAAGGAUGUUUUCAUUAAUCAAGAACGAAAGUUAGGGGAUCAAAGACGAUCAGAUACCGUCCUAGUCUUAACCAUAAACUAUGCCGACUCGGGAUUGGGGGCGUGUUCUAUCCGCCUUCAGCACCGUAUGAGAAAUCAAAGUCUUUGGGUUUUGGGG
rnacentral:rRNA from 1 species